GUCGAACGAGUUCUCGUUGAUGAUCGGUGCUUGCACCGAGAUUCAACAUGGAACGAGUGGCGGACGGGUGAGUAACACGUGGGUAACCUGCCCUUAAGUGGGGGAUAACAUUUGGAAACAGAUGCUAAUACCGCAUAGAUCCAAGAACCGCAUGGUUCUUGGCUGAAAGAUGGCGUAAGCUAUCGCUUUUGGAUGGACCCGCGGCGUAUUAGCUAGUUGGUGAGGUAAUGGCUCACCAAGGCGAUGAUACGUAGCCGAACUGAGAGGUUGAUCGGCCACAUUGGGACUGAGACACGGCCCAAACUCCUACGGGAGGCAGCAGUAGGGAAUCUUCCACAAUGGACGCAAGUCUGAUGGAGCAACGCCGCGUGAGUGAAGAAGGCUUUCGGGUCGUAAAACUCUGUUGUUGGAGAAGAAUGGUCGGCAGAGUAACUGUUGUCGGCGUGACGGUAUCCAACCAGAAAGCCACGGCUAACUACGUGCCAGCAGCCGCGGUAAUACGUAGGUGGCAAACGUUAUCCGGAUUUAUUGGGCGUAAAGCGAGCGCAGGCGGUUUUUUAAGUCUGAUGUGAAAGCCCUCGGCUUAACCGAGGAAGCGCAUCGGAAACUGGGAAACUUGAGUGCAGAAGAGGACAGUGGAACUCCAUGUGUAGCGGUGAAAUGCGUAGAUAUAUGGAAGAACACCAGUGGCGAAGGCGGCUGUCUGGUCUGUAACUGACGCUGAGGCUCGAAAGCAUGGGUAGCGAACAGGAUUAGAUACCCUGGUAGUCCAUGCCGUANACGAUGAAUGCUAGGUGUUGGAGGGUUUCCGCCCUUCAGUGCCGCAGCUAACGCAUUAAGCAUU
rnacentral:rRNA from 1 species